rnacentral:lncRNA from 1 species
GCCUCAGUGGGAGGGACGGAGUGAGGGAGGAGGGAGGCAAGGGGGCGGCGGCAGCGGCGGCUCACACCGGAUCUGCCCUCAGCACAGCGCGCACGGAAGGGGGGUCGGCCGGGGAAGCAGUGCCCGCCCGGACCCCCCACCCCCGUGGGAGUCAGCCCAGGGUGUGAGCGCGGGGCAGUGGAGCUCGGAGAGACUGCUGCAGCUCGGAUAUCUUAUGGUGGUGUUAGAACAACAGAGUUCUAGUUUGUCAUAAAAGGAACAUCUUCUUCACACUACUUCUUGCUGAUGUUUUGAAACUUUUCAAAGCAUUUGUGUAGAGAUCAGAGGACAACACGUGGGACUUCUUACUCUCCUUCCUUAUGUGAGUCCCCAAGACUGAAUUCAGAUUAUCAGUUUUAUGCAGGUACUGAAAGGCCAGAUGUUUCCUCUGUGGCUGGCAAAGCCAGAGAUUCAUCUUGGCAGUGACCUUUAUGGUCUGAAAUAAAAGGUGAGAGUCCUGUGACAAUGAAAAGAAUCCGUUGGUUUUCCAGUUGAGACUAAGCACUUUUAUCAUUUAAAAUUAUUUCCACAAGAUUAAAUGGGCUAUUUUGUAUUGUUGAUGUUUGAUCAUUUUAGCUUCAGAGUGACAAGACGUUCUUUUAAAAUCAUAAGGGUGCUUUGUUGUGGACAUAGAUGCAAAUUGGGAUAAACUGGAGAAUCAUAUUUUAGAAGUCAUGAUUUAAUAAGACACUAGUAAAAUCAUUUAAUGUCAGUAAGGUAACACAUUUGGUUGUUUAUAUGAGGUCUUUGAAAACCUUGGUUUCAAUUUGUGGCCAUGAUUGCUUUUUAUUUUUUUAAACUUUUUUUCCAAGGAUGCUGUAUGUGGAGAUGCCAUUAUUCUGAAUUUUCAGACAUGCUUUAAGCUUGGUGUCAAAGUCAUCAUAGUGUAAACAGAAAGUUAUCUGGUAGGCUGCACAUCAC